rnacentral:snRNA from 1 species
AGCUUUGCGCAGUGGCAGUAUCAUAGCCAAUGAGGUUUAUCCGAGGCGCGAUUAUUGCUAAUUGAAAAAGAUGUGUCUUUUUUUUUUUCUAUGUUUGAUUUUUUUGGUUUUUGCUAUCAGGUGCAUGUGCUCACCAGAAAGAGAGAGACAGAGAGACAGAAAGCAAGAAAUCACCCCCCUGAGGGGG